UCCCGGUUGGCCCGGGCGGUCUCGUAUGAAAAAGCAACAUACGACAAGGGUUGCGCUCGUUGCGGGACUUAACCCAACAUCUCACGACACGAGCUGACGACGGCCAUGCAGCACCUGUCACCAGGUUCCCGAAGGCACAUCUGUCUUUCGACUGACUUCCUAGGAUGUCAAGUCUCGGUAAGGUUCUGCGCGUUGCGUCGAAUUAAACCACAUCCUCCACCGCUUGUGCGGGUCCCCGUCAAUUCCUUUGAGUUUUAAACUUGCGUUCGUACUCCCCAGGCGGAUCACUUAACGCGUUAGCUUCGUGACGCAGGGGGUCGAAGCCCCACAUCGCUAGUGAUCAUCGUUUACGGCGUGGACUAC
rnacentral:misc_RNA from 1 species